AGGCUAUUGCUAUCGGGAUCCGAUUCAGGCAUGCUAGUCGUACGAGUUCAGACUCGUGGCGUAUAGCUCAGUAACACGUGGUCAAACCACCCUCUGGACCGGGAUACCCUCGGGAAACUGAGGUCAAUCCCGGAUACUGCUUUCACGUUGGAAAAACGGAAAGCUGGAAACGGUCCGCCGCCGGAGGACGUGACUGCGGCCGAUUAGGUAGACGGUGGGGUAACGGCCCACCGUGCCAAUAAUCGGUACGGGUUGUGAGAGCAAGAGCCCGGAGACGGAAUCUGAGACAAGAUUCCGGGCCCUACGGGGCGCAGCAGCCGCGAAACCUUUACACUGCACGACAGUGCGAUAAGGGGAUCCCGAGUGCGAGGGCAUACAGUCCUCGCUUUUCGUGACCGUAAGGUGGUCACAGAAUAAGGGCUGGGCAAGACCGGUGCCGAGCCGCCGCGGUAAUACCGGCAGCCCGAGUGAUAGCCAAUUUUAUUGGGCCAAAGCGUCCGUAGCCGGCCGAACGGGUCCGUCGGGAAAUCCACCCGCUUAACGGGUGGGCGUCCGGCGGAAACCAGUCGGCUUGGGGCCGGGAGACCAGAGGGGUACGUCCGGGGUAGGAGUGAAAUCCUGGUAAUCCUGACGGACCACCGGUUGCGAAAGCGCCUCUGGAGAACGGACCCGACGGUGAGGGACGAAAGCUAGGGUCUCGAACCGGAUUAGAUACCCGGGUAGUCCUAGCCGUAAACGAUGCUCGCUAGGUGUGACGCAGGCUACGAGCCUGCGUUGCGCCGUAGGGAAGCCGAGAAGCGAGCCGCCUGGGAAGUACGUCCGCCAAGGAUGAAACUUAAAGAAUUGGCGGGGGAGCACUACAACCGGAGGAGCCUGCGGUUUAACUUGGACUCAACGCCGGACAUCUCACGGCACCGACAACGUGCAGUGACGGUCAGUUUGAUGAGCUUACCUGAGCCGUUGAGAGGAGGUGCAUGGCCGCCGUCAGCUCGUACCGUGAGGCGUCCUGUUAAGUCAGGCAACGAGCGAGACC
rnacentral:rRNA from 1 species